GCAAUCACUAGGCUGCUAUUCAGUGGAGUGGCUGUAUGGUCCCAAAUCUGGGAUUAAGGGUCUGUUAAAAUGGUAAACAUUCAACAUUGGCCAUGCUGUCAAUGAAGAAUGAUUUGUGCCGUCCUCAAAACAACUGUUAACUCGGAACUGCGAGAACUUGACUUCAGUGAGUUCAAGACCACUGGGAAGUUGGGAAUAAACGAGCUCCGACUGGGAAAAUACGUUUUGAAAGGUCAUCCAACUCGGAAUUGUAAAUCCAGCCUCUAUCUAGAGCUAUGACCUGAAGAUUAAUGACAUCAUGAUUCGACCUUGUUUUUUCAGUUACCAGUUGUUUUGAAAGCACCAUAAAUCCAGAGAAUGCCAGACUUUGAUGACAAUUUGCCCACGAAGGACCACUGCGCCACCUUCCUGUGAGCACAGCACAACCAGACCAUCACACCCUACCUACUGGCCUUACAAUCCAGGAGCAACCCCCCCGCCUCAGUUUGCUUUUUGCUGUGUGUGAAAUUAAAUGGCUAAUUGAGA